rnacentral:lncRNA from 1 species
AGGCUGCAAUCCUCUCUGCUGACAAGGGAGCAAGUUUCUAGGAUUUGGUUAAAUAACCAGGAAAACGCUUCCUUAAAAUUUCCCCUCCCCGGCAGCGUCCCCGCUGUCCCCAUGGUGUGGCGAGGGGCAGCGCUGUGGGUGCCGAGCGCUGGGGCCCUGCGUGACAUUUCCCCGGGGGGCCGAGAGCUCGGUCCCGUUCCGUGGGCUGCGUUUGCAGUGGGGAAAUUUCCCCUCUAGAUGGCGGAAAGGGCAGCAGGAAAAACGCAGGGGGCCCACGCUGCGGAGCGUUCAAACGCGGAGGUGCGCGACUGCGGCGCUCGCCCCGCUCCGAGGGUCCCCGCGGCCACCGCUCGGGAUCCGAGGAGCCGCGGCCAGAUGGAAAAAGCAGAUGGAAAAAAGGGCCCAGCAGCCGGAGCCCCAAGGCACCCCCAGCUGUAGGGUUGCCAGCCCCAAAUCCAGGCUGCGGGAGAGGACAGCGAGGGGACCGCCGCGCGCUGGCUGCUGCCGCCUUACCCUGAGCCACCCGCCCGCAACGCCACAGAGAGCAGGGCUGGGGCCGGCGGCGCAGCAGGGAUUUUCCCCCCAGGGGCUGCGGUUAUGCGGUGAGGACCCGCACCUUUUUUUCCUGGCUGUGAGAGGACUUGUCACCAGGACCCCUGCAGAGCUGCUCUCCAGCCAGUUCCUCCCAGCUGGCCUGCAUCCUACUGGGGCCGUGGUUCUGCCUUGGUCCUUGCUGAACCUCACCUGGGUCCCCUCAGCUUCACCUGGGUCCCCUCAGCUUUACCUGCGUCCCCUCAGCCCCUUUCUCCAGCCUGCUGAGGUCCCCCUGGGUGGUGCUGCCACGUAGCUGCUUCUCCUCCAGCUGGAGCCAGCCACAGACUCGG